CCGUUCCUCCACCAGUUGUUAGAAAUAUAUAUUUUAUUUCUUUUUUCUACGCGAGGUAGGGAAUCGUUUACAAUCAAUCUCUAGUAUACUAUCUGUUCUUAGUGUUCGUCUCCUUGCAGUAGUUUUCCAAGAGUUCACUUCAGCCUUCAACUGGCUUUCACUGUUCGUGAUCUGUUUCGUUUAUUUCUUCGUCGUUCGUUUGUUUCGUUUGAGUUUCUGCAGCUUUUCAUCAGUUAAGUUUUAUUCAGCAUACGUCCACUGACGAAUUUGGGUUGUGCGCGCCCUUUUAUACUAACGGUUGAGGGAUCUUUCUACACGUGAUGUAGCAAGUGGUGUGAUUUGUAUCCAGCCAAUCAACGUUGAGGUUUAAAGGUGUGGGUUGGCGUUACUAGCUCGUUCCAGCUCUCAAAUUCUGUUUAUUUAAGGCGUUGUCGCACUGGUCGAGUUGGUUCGCUGUUCAAUCGAUCAUCAUUAAAACAUGUUCACAACUUAAAAUACUCAUCAAAAUAUCAUAGUAAAAACUUCAAACUAUACCUAUGUGAACCUUACUUUACCUACUAAACUAAAUUUACUUACAAUUUUAUUGAACCAAGAUUUUGAUGACGUAAUGUUAUCAUUACUCAACCGCGCGAAAUAUACCGAAGAAUGAUUGACAGAAAGGCCCUAAGCAUGCACAUUUUCAUGUCAGAGAAGAACCAGCCUUGGACUUUGAAUUAUGUAAACACAACAGCCCACCAUGCAAGGUUAUCGUCCAUCUUUGACAAAUUGACAAAUUAUUUAUCUUGCCUAAUGGAUAGAUAAUUGACACUUUUACACAAGUCCGAAAUGAUAUAUACUUUAUCUGAGUUUUACAGCAAAAAUGCUCAUUAUCUCUCCAUUUGACGUAACUAGUAUCUAUAAUUACCUGGGGUGCAAAUUGAACUAUUUUUAUACUAUUUUUAAUACUUUCGUAACAAUACUAUAACUGCGUAGUAAGUAUAUUUAAAGACUAUAAGGUGUUUUUCAUAUUAGAUUGAUAUCUGCAUGUAAGUAAGGGAAUAAUUCUAAUAUAAAAGAGGUAAGAAUGUUCGUACUAUAUGUGUGUAUGUAAAUAGAAGUA